rnacentral:rRNA from 1 species
ACGGAAGGCAGCAGUGGGGAAUAUUGCACAAUGGGGGAAACCCUGAUGCAGCAACGCCGCGUGAGUGAAGAAGUAUUUCGGUAUGUAAAGCUCUAUCAGCAGGGAAGAUAAUGACGGUACCUUACUAAGAAGCACCGGCUAAAUACGUGCCAGCAGCCGCGGUAAUACGUAUGGUGCAAGCGUUAUCCGGAUUUACUGGGUGUAAAGGGUGCGUAGGCGGCAUGGUAAGUCAGAUGUGAAAUACCGGGGCUCAACCCCGGGGCUGCAUUUGAAACUGCCAGGCUGGAGUACAGGAGAGGCAAGCGGAAUUCCUAGUGUAGCGGUGAAAUGCGUAGAUAUUAGGAGGAACACCGGUGGCGAAGGCGGCUUGCCGGACUGUUACUGACGCUGAGGCACGAAAGCGUGGGGAGCAAACAGGAUUAGAUACCCUGGUA